rnacentral:rRNA from 1 species
GAUCGGCUAACUCCGUGCCAGCAGCCGCGGUAAUACGGAGGAUCCAAGCGUUAUCCGGAUUUAUUGGGUUUAAAGGGUCCGUAGGCGGGUUAUUAAGUCAGUGGUGAAAUCCUACAGCUCAACUGUAGAACUGCCAUUGAUACUGAUAACCUUGAGUAUAAUUGAAGUGGGCGGAAUGUGUCAUGUAGCGGUGAAAUGCUUAGAUAUGACACAGAACACCGAUUGCGAAGGCAGCUCACUAAGUUAUAACUGACGCUGAGGGACGAAAGCGUGGGUAGCGAACAGGAUUAGAUACCCUGGUAGUCCACGCCGUAAACGAUG